GCGGAGGAAAAGAAACCAACAGGGAUUGCCCUAGUAACGGCGAGUGAAGCGGCAACAGCUCAAAUUUGAAAGCUGGCUCCGGCCCGCAUUGUAAUUUGCAGAGGAUGCUUUUGGCGAGGUGCCUUCCGAGUUCCCUGGAACGGGACGCCAUAGAGGGUGAGAGCCCCGUAUGGAUGGACACCAGACCUGUGUAAAGCUCCUUCAACGAGUCGAGUAGUUUGGGAAUGCUGCUCUAAAUGGGAGGUAAAUCUCUUCUAAAGCUAAAUACCGGCCAGAGACCGAUAGCGCACAAGUAGAGUGAUCGAAAGAUGAAAAGCACCUUGAAAAGGGGGUUAAACAGUACGUGAAAUUGUUGAAAGGGAAGCAUUUAUGACCAGACUUGCGCCGGGCAGCUCAUCAGGGGUUCUCCCCUGUGCACUCUGCCCGGCUCAGGCCAGCAUCGGUUCUCGUGGGAGGAUAAGAACAGUGGGAACGUGGCCCCCCUCCGGGGGGGUGUUAUAGCCCAUUGUACGAUACUCUCGUGGGGACCGAGGUUCGCGCUCCGCAAGGAUGCUGGCGUAAUGGUCAUCAAUGACCCGUCUU
rnacentral:rRNA from 1 species